rnacentral:rRNA from 1 species
AUACCGUGAAACUGCGAAUGGCUCAUUAAAUCAGUUAUCGUUUAUUUGAUAGUACCUUACUACUUGGAUAACCGUGGUAAUUCUAGAGCUAAUACAUGCUAAAAACCCCAACUUCGGGAGGGGUGUAUUUAUUAGAUAAAAAACCAACGCCCUUUCGGGGCUUCUUGGUGAUUCAUGAUAACUUUACGGAUCGCAUGGCCUUGCGCCGGCGACGGUUCAUUCAAAUUUCUGCCCUAUCAACUUUCGAUGGUAAGGUAUUGGCUUACCAUGGUUUCAACGGGUAACGGGGAAUUAGGGUUCGAUUCCGGAGAGGGAGCCUGAGAAACGGCUACCACAUCCAAGGAAGGCAGCAGGCGCGCAAAUUACCCAAUCCCGACACGGGGAGGUAGUGACAAUAAAUACUGAUACAGGGCUCUUUUGGGUCUUGUAAUUGGAAUGAGUACAAUUUAAACCUCUUAACGAGGAACAAUUGGAGGGCAAGUCUGGUGCCAGCAGCCGCGGUAAUUCCAGCUCCAAUAGCGUAUAUUAAAGUUGUUGCAGUUAAAAAGCUCGUAGUUGAAACUUGGGUCUGGCUGGCAGGUCCGCCUCACCGCGUGUACUUGUCCGGCCGGGCCUUCCUUCUGGAGAACCUCAUGCCCUUCACUGGGCGUGUUGGGGACCAGGACUUUUACUUUGAAAAAAUUAGAGUGUUCAAAGCAGGCCUUUGCUCGAAUACGUUAGCAUGGAAUAAUAGAAUAGGACGUGCGGUCCUAUUUUGUUGGUUUCUAGGACCGCCGUAAUGAUUAAUAGGGACAGUCGGGGGCAUCAGUAUUCAAUUGUCAGAGGUGAAAUUCUUGGAUUUAUUGAAGACUAACUACUGCGAAAGCAUUUGCCAAGGAUGUUUUCAUUAAUCAGUGAACGAAAGUUAGGGGAUCGAAGACGAUCAGAUACCGUCGUAGUCUUAACCGUAAACUAUGCCGACUAGGGAUCGGGCGAUGUUCUUUUUCUGACUCGCUCGGCACCUUACGAGAAAUCAAAGUUUUUGGGUCUGGGG